CCACCCAAAUCAUAUUGGAAAAUCUGAUGAUGAAAUAUAGCUUUCGAAAUACAUGAUACCUUUGAAAUACAGGACACCUGACACACAAUUCUAGAUCCA